rnacentral:misc_RNA from 1 species
GAUGAAGAACGUAGCAAAAUGCGAUAAGUAAUGUGAAUUGCAGAAUUCAGUGAAUCAUCGAAUCUUUGAACGCACAUUGCGCCCGCCAGUAUUCUGGCGGGCAUGCCUGUUCGAGCGUCAUUUCAACCCUCAAGCCCAGCUUGGUGUUGGGGAUCGGCACAGGCGCCCUCGGGCGCCCGCCGUCCCCUAAAUCUAGUGGCGGUCCCGCUGCAGCCUCCUCUGCGUAGUAGUUUUCUCCUCGCAAGGGCAGCUCGGUGGCGACCUCGCCGUAAAACCCCCAACUUCUGAAAGGUUGACCUCGAAUCAGGUAGGAAUACCCGCUGAACUUAAGCAUAUCAAUAAGCGGAGGA